CCUUCUUACGAAGGUAUGCUUAAAGAGGGGCUUGCGCCACAUUAGUUAGUUGGUAGAGUAAAAGCCUACCAAGACGAUGAUGUGUAGCUGGACUGAGAGGUUGAACAGCCACAUUGGGACUGAGACACGGCCCAAACUCCUACGGGAGGCAGCAGUAGGGAAUUUUCGGCAAUGGAGGAAACUCUGACCGAGCAACGCCGCGUGAACGAUGAAGUAUUUCGGUAUGUAAAGUUCUUUUAUUGAAGAAGAAAAAGUAGUGGAAAAACUAUAUUGACGUUAUUCAAUGAAUAAGCCCCGGCUAACUAUGUGCCAGCAGCCGCGGUAAGACAUAGGGGGCGAGCGUUAUCCGGAAUUAUUGGGCGUAAAGGGUGCGUAGGCUGUUAGAUAAGUCUAUAAUUUAAUUUCAGUGCUUAACGCUGUCUUGUUAUAGAAACUGUCUUGACUAGAGUGAGAUAGAGGCAAGCGGAAUUCCAUGUGUAGCGGUAAAAUGUGUAAAUAUAUGGAGGAACACCAGAAGCGUAGGCGGCUUGCUGGGUCUUUACUGACGCUGAGGCACGAAAGCGUGGGUAGCAAACAGGAUUAGAUACCCUGGUAGUCCACGCCGUAAACGAUGAGUACUAAGUGUCGGGGUAAAACUCGGUACUGAAGUUAACACAUUAAGUACUCCGCCUGAGUAGUACGUACGCAAGUAUGAAACUUAAAGGAAUUGACGGGACUCCGCACAAGCGGUGGAUCAUGUUGUUUAAUUCGAAGAUACACGAAAAAUCUUACCAGGUCUUGACAUACUCUGCAAAGCUAUAGAAAUAUAGUGGAGGUUAUCAGGGAUACAGGUGGUGCAUGGUUGUCGUCAGUUCGUGUCGUGAGAUGUUAGGUUAAGUCCUAAAACGAACGCAACCCUUGUCGUUAAUUGCCAGCACAUAAUGGUGGGGACUUUAACGAGACUGCCAAUUAAACAUUGGAGGAAGGUGAGGAUUACGUCAAAUCAUCAUGCCCCUUAUGAUCUGGGCUACAAACGUGAUACAAUGGCUGUGACAAAGAGUAGCUGAAACGCGAGUUUUUAGCCAAUCUCAAAAAAGCAGUCUCAGUUCGGAUUGAAGUCUGUAACUCGACUUCAUGAAGUUGGAAUCGCUAGUAAUCG
rnacentral:rRNA from 1 species